CCCUUAGAUGUUCUGGGCCGCACGCGCGCUACACUGAUGCAUUCAACGAGCCUAUCCUUGACCGACAGGUCCGGGUAAUCUUUGAAUCUGCAUCGUGACGGGGAUAGAUUAUUGCAAUUAUUAAUCUUCAACGAGGAAUGCCUAGUAGGCGCAAGUCAUCAGCUUGCGUCGAUUACGUCCCUGCCCUUUGUACACACCGCCCGUCGCUCCUACCGAUUGGGUGUGCUGGUGAAAUGUUCGGAUCGCGCCGACGUGGGCGGUUCGCCGCCGGCGACGUCGCGAGAAGUCCACUGAACCUUAUCAUUUAGAGGAAGGAGAAGUCGUAACA
rnacentral:rRNA from 1 species